rnacentral:lncRNA from 13 species
GAGCAGAAGUCGUAAACACAGUGUUCUUCAUUUCUACCCGUUGGACUUGUGGGUUGGCUUAAUGCUAGCUUUCUCCCUAAUAAAAGGCAAGGGAAAUAUCAGCUAGAAAUUUCAUAAUUGGGGUGUUUGCCUCAUUUCCUAUUUUUAAGUGGCACAGACUUCGGAACUAAGGCUGUGUAUGAGUCUGGCAAACGCUGCUGGUGGAUGUGGGCUGAAGCUCCUGUCUGCAAAGGGCUGUGAAGA